GCCAGUGUGGUGUAGUGGUUUGAGCAUAGGACUGUGGCUCUGAAGACUAGGGAUCAAUCCCCUGCUUGGCCA